UACGUAGGGCGCAAGCGUUGUCCGGAAUUAUUGGGCGUAAAGAGCUCGUAGGCGGUUUGUCGCGUCUGCUGUGAAAACUCGAGGCUCAACCUCGGGCUUGCAGUGGGUACGGGCAGACUAGAGUGCGGUAGGGGAGACUGGAAUUCCUGGUGUAGCGGUGAAAUGCGCAGAUAUCGGGAGGAACACCAGUGGCGAAGGCGGAACUCUGGGCCGGAACUGACGCUGAGGAGCGAAAGCGUGGGGAGCGAACAGG
rnacentral:rRNA from 1 species